CACCCCACACCCUCACUUUAGAGCUGGACGUGGUAGCAGGAGCCUAGAACCCCUGCACCUGGAAUAAUGAGGCAAGAUCACAAACCUGGGCUGCAUAGUCCUUUCCCCGUCUCAAAAGCAAACAAAAAUGUACAUGAGUAUACUACACAGUAUACUUCUCCAGUAGAAUGUUUGGAUUUAAACAUUAUUGAUUCUCUUUCUUUCUUAUUUACAUUUAUUUAUUGCAGAGAGAGCCACACAGGAGUGUGCCAUAAGUCCUGUGGAAGUCACAGGACAGCCUGGAGAAGUUGGUUCUCUCUAUCCACCCUGAGGGUCCAAGGGCUGGAAUUCAAAUCGUCAGUCUGGUCCACAAGAGUCUGAGGAAUCAUGGAUUGCAGCAGUGUUGACUUGUUGUGUACUGUUUUAGGUUUUUCUUCCAUGCCAGGCUAAAACAGAAGUCAGCAAAUCAUUACCGGCUGUCCACAUUCAGUUGGUAGCUAGUUGGUAGGUCACUGAGUUAAGAAUGUUUGACAUGUUUAAAUGGUUGAAAAUUAAAAUAACAUUACAUGAACUGUGAAACAUCAAAUUCUAGUUUCACUGUCUAUAAAGAUUUGAAUUUUGUUACAUUCUACAGAAACAUUCCUGAUUUUGCCACUUUACCCACAGAAGCUAUAAUAUUUACUAUCUAACUAUAGUUUUCCAACCUGGGUUGUAGAAAGACAAAAACAUAAACUCAAACAGGCACAAUGUUUAACCAUCAUUUUUAAGAACCCAAAGCUACUUCUUGCCUUUCUGGUAAAGGGGAAAUGUAAAAAUGUGAGAUGGAACAAGGGGAGGAAGAAGGCCUCAGAGAGAGAAAUGGGAACUUUUAGAAACCAAAUCCUGCAAGGACAGGGUCCACCAUGUGCACCCACUGUUCAUUGCCAAGGACAAGGUCGACCAUGUGCACACACUGUUCAUUGCCAAGGACAGGUGUUACGAUAAAUCUUUCCACCAAAACCACCUGAGCCCUACUGCCACAUGGGCGGUCUCUGCCACCCGAGUUCUGCCUGCCUCAUGGAUGGACAAAAUAAUAGAGACAUAUUAGGUACAAAGCUGCUUGGCCAAUGACUAGGAUUCCUCAUCUGUUAGCUCAGUCUUAAUUAUCAUAAACCCAUAUAUUUUAUAAGACUUAUCUUAUAGAGGAUGCCUUUCGCUGGCACCCUCUCUUGCUCACAUGGCGCCGAUGGAGGAG
rnacentral:lncRNA from 1 species